UGCGACAAUACUUCAGAGAAUCAUUUCUAUAGUAGUUGUCCUCUCUUGGUUUCCCUAAAGGAGCCACAGAUCCCACCCGGGUUGAUGAACGAUAUCCUCGACGCCCUUCAGUGAGGUUCCUUUUUUUUACUCUCGCUCUGCCUGCGAAGGCGGCGGUCGCUGGCUCCCUCGCGGGCUGCGGCUGUAUAGAGAGUGGCGAUGAUCUGUGCCCCGGCUUUUCCCCGGGGUCUUGCCUUCGGGCGCUCGGGCGGGGCGGGUGUCGAUGGAAGUCUGACCGGC
rnacentral:snoRNA from 1 species